rnacentral:misc_RNA from 1 species
GGAACACUCUGCACCGAGUCAUUUUAUAUAUUCAUAGUUUCAAUAUAUGAAUACCAUAUAUAAAAAUAAUUUUCCUAAAAAAAAAACUAAAUAUUUCACUUCUUUGUUUUCGUUUAGUUUUCAAAAUUUCCUAAUACUGAAACCAACUAGGUACACAGCCUUGAACUUGACUGAUAGAUUACACAGCCCUAUAUUUUACUAGGUGCAAGGUACCAAAUGAACCAGAACAGCUAUGAAUGAAAUCAAGUUCACAUUGGUCUAUACAUGAGUAGGACACUUAGGUAAAUUAUAAAGCUAUCACCUGGCAGCUGGAAGGAAGGCAUCAGCAAAUAUUAUAUUUGUUCCAACACCCUUCAGCAAUGAAUAAGGAAAGAAUUAACCAAAUGUUAAUGAUAGUAAAUUUAUUAUCGGAUAGUUGCUGCAUGAUUCACAUUGUUGAUUGGUAUGAAUUUCUGCUGGCAAUGAAAACAGAGCAUAUACAUGAAAGCAAUGGUCAAGAAAAGAAGAAUUUAUCUUUAGAUUUUACGCUUUCAGUUUCAUUUCAAGUUCCCCCAUUGCAGUAGUGGAUGCCAUU